rnacentral:lncRNA from 1 species
UUAGAUACAUUGGCAAAACGAUUAAAUUUUUUUACAAUGACUCAUAUAAAUAUAUCUGUGAAAACAACUUGAAAAAUGAAAGAAUUGCAAAACAGUUGUGUUCCUAUGUUGGAAGAAGGUAAGAAAACUGAGUAACACCCUGUUUAUUGUUUCUUCCUGUUAAUUAUAAAAGUACCAGUAUCUUAUUCUAUAAGGUAAUAAUAUGAUAUAUAAUCAUAUUGGUUUCAAAUUUUGGCACACAAGGCCAGCAAUUUCAGGAGGGGUAAGUCAAUUACAUCAACCCCAGCACUCAAAUGGUACUUAUUUUAUCAACCUUGAAAGGAUGAAAGGCAAAGUUGACCUAAGCAGAAUUUAAACUCUGUGCCGGUGGCAUGUAAAAGGCACCAUUCAAGUGUGAUCGUUACCAGCAUCGCCUUACUGGCACCUGUGCCGGUGGCAUGUGUAAAAAGAUUCAAGCAAGGUCGUUUCCAGUACUGCCUGACUGGACCCCAUGCCGGUGGCACGUAAAAGCACCCACAAGACUCUUGGAGUGGUUGGCGUUAGGAAGGGCAUCCAGCUGUAGAAACUUUGCCUGAUCAAGAUUGAAGCCUGGUGCAGCCAUCUGGUUUGCCAGCCCUCAGUCAAAUCGUCCAACCCAUGCUAGCAUAGAAAGCAGACGUUAAACGAUGAUGAUGAUGAUGAUGAUGAAUGUAAAGUGGACGAAAUGCUGGUAAGCAUUUUGCCUGGCAUGCUAAUGAUUCCACCAGCUUGCUACCUUAAGAUAUAUAAAAACAUUAAGAGAACACGAUAGAGACUAAUGCAACUGAAUGUUAAGCCCUUUUGUAUCAUUCUCUAUUUUGAUCCUUUUGCAUUCUUAGAUUUCCAAAAUCUGUGAUAAUGCAACCAAUCUUAAAAUGGAAUAAGUGUUUUCAGCCAGUAAGACUUUUUUAGAAACUCAAGAAGUAACAAAGAGACAUUAUGUUCAUUGUGACUGUCACCAAAUUGUGUUACCUGUUUUUCUCCAUGUAAUGUACUAAAAGUGUAGGUGUGGCUGUGUGGUAAGUAGCAUGCUUACGAACCACAUGGUUCCAGGUUCUGUCCCACUGCAUGGCACCUUGGGCAAGUGUCUUCUACUAUAGCCUCGGGCUGACCAAAGCCUUGUGGAUUUGAAAGAAGCCCAUCGUAUAUAUAUGUGUGUGUGUGUAUAUAUAUAUAUAUAUAUAUAUGUGUAUGUGUGUGUAUAUGUUUGUGUGUCUGUGUUUGUCCCCCCCACCAUCGCCUGACAAUUGAUGCUGAUGUGUUUACGUCCUCGUAACUUAGCGUUUUGGCAAAAGAGACCAAUAGAAUAAGUAUUAGGCUUACAAAGAAUAAGUCCUGGGGUCGAUUUGCUUGACUAAAGGUGGUGCUCCAGCAUGGCUACAGUCAAAUGACUGAAACAAGUAAAAGAGUAAAAGAGAUAUUGCAGUCAAUUUAAUCAAAGUCUUUGAAUUGCAAGUAUUGCAGGUUUGCUUGAGCUGUUCUUUUUUCUAUCAAUGACACAUUCACCAAUCAAUGUGAUUUAUCUAUUUGUUUCAGUGUCAAAGUAGAAGUGGAAUCUGAUGCAUUUUAAGGCAUCAACUGUGAAGGCUGUUGAUAGUUUAGUUGCAUCUAUUACGUCUACAAACAACUGUGCUUUAAUGCUUCUGUAAAUGUCACAACAAAUGUUGUCUAUUUUGCAUUGUGAGAAUCUGUCAGAAGUCACCAUCAAACACAACUUUAUUAUCAAAUGACCCAUCAUGUUGCAUUAUACCUAAAAAUAAAGGAUUUGCUCUUUAAAAUAAAUAGUUGAUGGUGAUUUCUGAAUAGGUUUUUCAGAUGUAGAGUUAAAUGAAACAUGACAGAUUGAUGAGCUAUAGAUUUUUAAUGGAACCUUUGUGAACGAGCAGUUUUUCACUUUUGGAAAGAAAUGCAGCAAACCCAGAUGAGGCUACAGUCAAUAUGACCCAGCCUCAGGAUUGAACACUUUUUGAUAUUGUUCUAUGCAAAUGCUAUCACAACCUGUCAGGGCUUUCAACCAAAAAGUAAGAUGAUAACUAAUUGAUGCUGGCUAUGAUUUUGCUUUAUGCCACCAGCUGUUUCCCUUUCAACUUCUUGUAUAACAUGUACUAUCAUCUUCUUUGUUAUCAUAACUUAAUCCUAAUGCAUGGUACAAAUCAUCCUAUAUUGGAUCAUACUUUAUUGAAACAACUUACAAGAGGCUAUAGAAACAAUGAAAACAUGUUCAAACUUGAUCUUUCUUUCAUUCUGAUAUAAUGCUCCUAAUAGUACAGAAAUUCCCCUCUUGAUUCCAUUGAAAAUCUUUCAUCAGUUGCUUCUUAUACAUGAUGUUAAGCUGGAGUGGAUUAGCCAAGUUGCAGUGCAGCUGCAAGGGUACAAAAGCUGUUGGAACUCUUUGACAAUAUGAAGUGUAUUGCAAUGCUUAUCAUCACUUUGAAAGAGCUUUCGUUUCAUGCCUAUCAUUUAAUAUUUAUCAUGUAAUACCAUUCACAUCUCUUAGAUCUAUAAAUGAUGUUUUGCUUUUCACUUUUAUGAGUAGAAGCCUGAAACCAGAAGUAAAACUGAUCACUACUUUUGGGACUCUCAUAACUCAUUUAACCAACUGCAAACUCUUUUAAUUCACCUGUGCUGUUGUUCAUUCCAAGAGCAAUGAUGAUAAAGGAAUCCAAGAUAUAUGUAAAUGCAUACUUCUUAAAUUGAAUCAAGAAGUUGUGAUGAAAUUUUGUAUCAACUAUCUGAUUCUUGUAUUUCUCAUUUGUGCUGUACUUUAUUGUCUAUUUGCAAUGUUUGAUAAAUAGACAGUUUUCUCAUUAAAACAAAAAAGAUACUUCAAAAUUUGUACAGAUAGAUAUUGCUUUUGUAAAAAUAAAUCCCAGAGACUUCUAAACAACCUCUGCUACUCCAGUUUAUCUUGCAUCUAUAUGUUAAUCCAUUUCAUAGUGUUGAUGUUGUUUGGCACUAUCACCAGCUACUCAUAUAUUUGAAUCUGUAGUUUAUAGACUUCAUUGUAGAAUCAAUUUCAACAUUUAAAUGAAUGUGUAUUGAGCAUUUUUCAUCAAAUACACAUUAUAUGAUAAAACAUGUUGGUUUUCAUAAACAAAUGUGUAGUAGUGUUUUAGCUAAACUGGAUCUUGUACUUGUAGCUACAAUUUCAGUUUUUAAUUCUUUUGGAUAGUAAAAAUGGUUGCAUUGAUUUAUCUGGUGCUAAUUCAAGCAUACCAUAUUUAAUUUGUUAGAUCUACGUAACUCUAGAUUAUGCAUUUUAAAACAAGUUGGAAUCGUUCAUGUCAUAAUAUUCAUUUGGAGGUACAGCACACGUAAUUUUGUCAUAAUCUGCUAUUGAUCAUGAAUAUAUGUUGGAAGGAGUGAAACCUGCCAUCAGGUUGAAAACUUUUCAGUGUAUAUGCAUGAAGUAGGCUUCACCUUUGGAGUUCAACCAGAGAAACUAAUUUCACCACUUUUCCAAAGAUAUGCUUGCUUUGAAGCUGUUCAUAUAAUAUUUUUGACUUUAUACAGAAAACCCUUUCACAAGAGGACUACUUGAUCACAUAUAUAUAUACAUAUAACUAUAUAUCUCUCUAUGUAUACAUAUAUGUAGUAAACUAUCUCUUCACUCUAAUUUUUUUCUUGUCAGUAAUGGAACAUUUGGUGAUCCAAUUCUAGGAGAUGGUGUAUUAUUCACAUCCAAGAUCUCGUAUAACACUAACCAGCUGAUUCCAGGUUUUG